GGCAGGGGCAGUCCCGAGAGCAGCCGGCAGAUGCAGCCGCAUCGGGAUCCGGGGCACACCCGCUCCCACAGGUGAUAAACACUAAUGCUGCAAUUCCGGUAUAGUGUUGUCCAGUAGCUUACAUGCCCAUCAGAAUUUAAUUCCUUGGACUAUUCUUGGAGAGGGGAAUUGGAGGCACAAAAAGUAAAGGUCAGGGGUUGAGAUAAGAACAAUUCACUGGAAACAACAACGAAAUAAGAAAAUGAACAGUAACAGCAACAAUAUCAGUAACAGAAGUGUACAAGAGAGAGCCUUAUGUGAACUGGUGCUGAAUCACGAGUACCCAAGGUCGAAGGAUGGAUAAAACUGUAUCUCCAAGUACCACUUUAAGCUUACUGUGAAUUAAAAUGACUGUGCUAUUUUGGCCUAACCUAUUCAUUACAUCCUUUACUGUUCCACGUAAUAAAAGCAUACCUGUGUUCUCACUGUUAUUUAUUUGUAUUCUGUGACUCAAGGUGCCUCUAAAGAAAUUUGUGGAAUCCACAGUGCACAGUCUUUUCUGUUGCUCCUCAAAAGACUCUUCUCUCUGUUCCAGAUUCUGCAGUAGUGAAACUGCAGAACAAAUCAAUCUAAAAAAAAUACAACCUCGAAAAUCAUGCUACCUCCCCUUCCAAAUCAAAUAAGAGAGCA